CAAAUACUCCCUUCGUCCAGAAAUACUUGUCCUAGAAAUGAACAAAAUAGAUGUAUCUAUAACUAAAAUAAAUCUAGGUACAUCCAUUUUUAAAACAAGUAUUUACGGACAGAGGGAGUAUAUA
rfam:Hordeum vulgare subsp. vulgare, WGS project CAJW01000000 data, contig: morex_contig_2567081